AACUGACUUGGCCAGGCGAUGGACAUUUGUUGACGGGUCUCUUGAGGUCUAAGUCGGAUAUAAAAAAAGGUAGAGGACUCUUCCUGAGGACGGACCACUUGGACUGUGCUCUUGACGGAAGUAGUCCAUGUAGAUUUUUUUAUUUUCUUUUUCUUUUCUAGGUAGUGUAGUGCUUGUCCCUUGGUUUUUCUUUUGACCACGGUUCUUUUCCAAGAGCUUUUCUUGAACCGGGUUAGGUAGAUUUUUCUCUUAUAGUUUUGGGACUAAAAUGGGUGAAGGCUAGAAUGCAACCCCUUAUGUGCACACCUGCAAACAACUAAAACAUACUUGACAGUGUGACGUCUAGGCUCGUUUGUGGACUCGUAAACCUAUGCCUUAAUUUUGCACAUCUUGUCUUUCUUGAACGCUUGUAUGAGUGUGUUAAUGAAUUGAUUCGGAACGCGUUACAUGCUAAGUGUGUGUGUGAGAUAUUACUUGCAUUCUGUGUUUGCAUGCAAUACCUAGAACUUGCCCUGUGUGUUUGCAAAGCGAAUAUAAGUUGUUUGGAUUUAGAAAGUAUUGAGCCAUUUCUUUGUGUAAGCCUUUAUAAAUGUGAAUCCAUUUGUAUAUAUUGUCAUAGUUAAUCCCUUUGAGCCUGAAGCGUGUUCUCUGAUAAUUCUAUAGUGACCUAUAUCCCUGUGUUUGAAUAGCUGAUUGUUUGAACCUAUACCUCAUCAAAGUAUUUGAAUCACUAAAGAACAUGCAAAAGUCAAAGUCUGGGGUGGUAGGGAAGUAGAGAAAAAGGGGAAUUAGGAAUGACUUAGUUUAAUGGUGCACUGUCAUAGAAAAAGAAAAAAAUAAAGAGAUGAACAAAACAAAACAAAAAAAAAGAAAGAAAAAGGCCAGUUGCACCUAAAGAAAAGUAGGGUCAUCUAUGAAACAAAAUGUGGAAGAAUGAUGGGGAUGCACCGUAAAAAGUAAAAUAAAUGGAAGUGUGUAUUAAAAUUGCUUGUGGAGGUUAGUCACUAUAUCCAAAUAUAUCCUACCCGUCCCUUAGCCUACAUUACAACCAAAUAAAGACCUCUUGAUCUAUGACUGAAUAGCCCGUUUAGAAGAAUAUUACACUAUGGGCAAGCUUAUGUGUGUCUGUGUGGAAUGUGAAUGAUCUUUGCUGAGAGUGAGUAGAUUCUUUCCAUCUUUGGUUCCUUAUUCUUUGAAUUUUAUGUGGGUGGAAGACUUCUAAUUUGAGGGCAUGUGACCCAGGAAGAAAAAGUAAGUCUUUACUUCUGUUAGAGUAACUAGAGUGAGCACAAGUGUGUCAUGGCAUGAGAGUCUGCAUCUAAGAUAUGAUUGUUUCAAUGCUUAGGUUGGUCCUUCAUAAUGGCGACUGUGACAUAAAUUGGGGCAAUGCAUCAAACGGUUAGGCCUAGAAGUGUGGUUUAAUUUGCUCGAGGACGAGCAAAGGUUUAAGUGUGGGGUGUUGAUAAUAGGUGAAUUUAACUAUAUGCAGGUCCUAAAUAACCACCUUCUCGCAUAGUUUUGGUAAUAAAGUGAUAACAAAUCGCCCUUAUGAGUGCUUUUCAUGAUUUGCAGAUUAUAUAUGACUAGGGAAGGCUCGGGAGUACUUUUCGAGUCAAACAGACCCUAAAUAAUCACCUUCUUGUAUAGUUUUGAUGAUGAAAGUGAUAACAAAAUGCUCUUCUUAGUGCUUUUCAUGCUUUGCAGGUUGUAUAUGACCAAAGAAGGAUAUGGAGUACUUUUGGGAUCAAAAAAGUGGAGAAAAAGAGGCCAACCGUAGAAGUCUGUCAAGUGAACCACGCAAAUAGCUCAAAACCAGGCCUGAAGAAUCAGGAGAAAAAGAGGCCAACCGUAGAAGUGCGUCAAGGGAACCACGGAAAUAGCUCAAAACUAGGCCUGAAGAAUCAGAGAACUGGGCUGGGCGUUUCCACCGUGACCGCGGAAGAACCGUAGUGAAAGAGGUUCGCGGAUAGAACGAGAAUCAGAGAAGCUGUUUGGCCGCGGUUUUCCCGCGAACGCGGCAGAACUGCGGCAGAGGCGAGAAACAUUAGGGACUAAAGUGUAAAAUAUGGGAUUUUUAGCCCAAAACCCUAUUUUAAACACUAGACUUCUCCCAAAGAAGGCAUGUAUUGAAUUGGAGAGUAUCUUGGCAAGAAAAACAAUUGGGAGAGAUCACCAAAAACAUUUUUCUUCUUUUCUUCGAUUUUUAUUGCUAGUUUAUGAUGAAUCUUGUCUUAGUUUGUUUACCCAUAGCCAUGAGUUGCUUAAUCCCUUAUCUAAGAUUUUGAUGGAACCUAUUGGGGGAUGAACUUCUUGUUUAUGUGAAUACAAAUCGCUAGUUUCAAUCUUUAUUUAUUCAAUUAUGUUCUUGUUGUAGUUAAUUGACAGGAUCCUCAAUUAUAUGUGCCUAUUUAGUGUGCAUAACUUGGAAGAGAGUUCAUAUUUAGUUUAUUGUUGAAUAACACCACUCCUAAAGUAUAAGAGGAAUCUAUAACUGCGGGUUUAAAGGUGAGAUUAGGGAUAAUGAAGCAUUGGGUAGAAUUUUAAGUGAACUGUAUUAAUUAAAGCUAGCUAGUGCUACUCUGAACAGUGCAAUAGUACAUUACUGUGAUUACUCGAGAGAUAUUUACGGUAGGGUGUUCAUGAUUGAUAGAGAUAUUAUCACACCUCCUUUUUUCACACCUUACCCCGAAGGAUAGAUGUAUAAGAGAGUUUUUCCAUUUAAAGUGACAUUAUUCGGAUCGGGAUUAUUUAUUUGUUCAGAGUCGCCACUUGGGAAAGGUUUGGCUUUUGGUGUCCCAAGUCACCGGUUUUUCUUGAAUCCCGAACCGAGGAAAAUUUCGACUUCCGAUUGGAGUCUGCAAACCAGAAAUUCUGAAUAAGGAAUUUUGUUUACCCGCUUGAAUCCCGAACCGAGAAAAAUUUUGACUUCCGAUUGGAGUCUGCGAACUAGAAAUUACGAAUAAGGAAUCCUUUUGACCCGAGGGAAGGUUUUAGGUACCCUCGGAUCCUGUGGUUCUAGCACGGUCGCUUAAACUAUUGUAUUUAAUUAAAAAGUGAUUUUAAAGCAUGCUAAAUUAUACGCCUUUUAUUUAUAAACCAAUUUUAUUUUUAUUUAUUUUUUAAAAAUACUUGCGACGUCGUGAAAAUGCGUCUCCGACCACGUCGCCAUCAAGGCACACAUAGUCAUUGACAGAUUUCGACUUCAUCGAGAUCAGGAUUUGGGUCGCAAUCAAUGCACACCCGAGUUUAAGAAAGUAAUUUAAUUAAAACUCGCUUAAACAUUCUAACGUAAUAUUGUUUGGAAAAGGCCAUUGAAAUUUGCUAGAUGACCCUUCAAAAUUCUAACCGUUUUUAAUAAUCAAUUAUUGAGGGCCCCACAUUUAUUCUUGUUUGGUGAGGCUCAUCUCCAUUUUUGAACCAAUUUUUUAUCACUAUUUGUUUUAUAAGAAUUGCAACGUCAUGAACGUGUUUCUAACCCCGUCUCCAUCAAGGCACCCAUGGUUAUCAACACAUUUCGAAUUCGGCGAGAUUUGGAUUUGGGUUGCAUCAAUGCACACCCAAAUUUAGGAAAGUAAUUUAAUUAAAAUGCACCUAAAGAUUCUAUCGCAAUAUUAUUUUGAAGAAAGCCGUGAAAUUCACUAAACGGCACUCCCGAAUUCUAAGUAUUUUUAUACCUUUAUUGAGGGCCCCGCAAUUUGUGUUUUUGUUGGCGAGGCUCGUCACAACCCUUUAUUAGUGGCCAAUCUAAAAGUAACUACGUUAUCUAUUCAGUCUCAUGUCUAGACUGGAGAGAAAAGGCUUAAUUGAUCUUACUCAAACUAAAUAAGGAAUUAAAACUAAAAGAUGUCAUAAAAUAUUAGCCAGCAAGCAAAUUGGCCUACUGCAGCUUUGGCCCAGUACCAACUGACUACCCCCAUUAAUUGGUUCCAACUGUCUAACCCAAUAGAAAUAUGGAGCCCAAUUAACACUGUUUCUAUUCAUUGUAGCAAAGUGCACAAAUUCCCUCCAUAUAAGAUGUCGAGUUUACUUUCAAGCAUCAACUUCACACAAUUAUGAGAGGCAAAACAACUUAUCAAAUUCUGUUAUCAAUCAACCAAAGUGUGAAUAAGAUAAAAUAACACCAAUUUCAAUUAAUCAAAACCUAAUUAACAGGGAUCACUGGAACGAAUAUGCAAGCAGACGACCUCUCUUACAAUCGCCAGGAAUUAAUAAUAUGCAGUCGAAUUGGAAAGAGAUUA
rnacentral:lncRNA from 1 species